CCUACGGGAGGCAGCAGUGGGGAAUAUUGCACAAUGGACGAAAGCCUGAUGCAGCAACGCCGCGUGAGCGAUGAAGGCCUUCGGGGCGUAAAGCUCUGUCCUCAAGGAAGCUAAUGACGGUACUUGAGGAGGAAGCCCCGGCGAACUACGUGCCAGCAGCCGCGGUAAUACGUAGGGGGCUAGCGUUAUCCGGAAUUACUGGGCGUAAAGGGUGCGUAGGUGGUUUCUUAAGUCAGAGGUGAAAGGCUACGGCUCAACCGUAGUAAGCCUUUGAAACUGGGAAACUUGAGUGCAGGAGAGGAGAGUGGAAUUCCUAGUGUAGCGGUGAAAUGCGUAGAUAUUAGGAGGAACACCAGUUGCGAAGGCGGCUCUCCGGACUGUAACUGACACUGAGGCACGAAAGCGUGGGGAGCAAACAGGAUUAGAUACCCCAGUAGUC
rnacentral:rRNA from 1 species